UGAAGGAGGAGGUGGUGCGCGUGUCACAACUCUGCCACCAUGAAGAUGUAUAUAGGACUUGUGUUCGUCCUCGUCGGCCUUGCUGUGGCUGAUGAGUCAGGUGGCGGCCACCACCAUCACCCACCAGCAUCUGGCUAUGGUCCUCCACCA